AGGGUUGGAGGGACGAGGUAGAGGGAUGGAGGGAUGAGGUAGAGGGAUGGAGGGAUGAGGUGGAGGGAUGAGGUAGAGGGAUGGCGGGAUGAGGUAGAGGGAUGGAGGGAUGAGGUGGAGAGAUGAGGUAGAGGGAUGGCGGGAUGAGGUAGAGGGAUGGCGGGAUGAGGAGAGGGAUGGAGGGAUGAGGUAGAGGGAUGGCGGGAUGAGGUAGAGGGAUGGAGGGAUGAGGUGGAGGGAUGAGGUAGAGGGAUGGCGGGAUGAGGAGAGGGAUGGAGGGAUGAGGUAGAGGGAUGGCGGGAUGAGGUAGAGGGAUGGCGGGAUGAGGUAGAGGGAUGGAGGGAUGAGGUAGAGGGAUGGAGGGAUGAGGUAGAGGGAUGGAGGGAUGAGGUAGAGGGAUGGAGGGAUGAGGUAGAGGGAUGGAGGGAUGAGGUGGAGGGAUGAGGUAGAGGGA
ensembl:lncRNA